rnacentral:rRNA from 1 species
UACAGAGGGGGCAAGCGUUGUUCGGAAUUACUGGGCGUAAAGGGCGCGUAGGCGGCCUGUUAAGUCGAACGUGAAAUCCCCGGGCUCAACCCGGGAACUGCGUCCGAUACUGGCAGGCUUGAAUCCGGGAGAGGGAUGCGGAAUUCCAGGUGUAGCGGUGAAAUGCGUAGAUAUCGUCAGGAACGCCAAUGGUGAAGACAGGUGACUGGGCUAGCUCUGACACUGAGGCACGAAAGCGUGGGGAGCGAACGGG